UUUGAACUUGUGUCAAUUUGGCUAAAAAAAAAAAAAAAAAUCUGUUCUUAUCAGUUUAAUAUCUGAUACGUCCUCUAUCAGGGGACAACAUAUUAAAUGGAUUUUUGUCAAUAGGAUUUGAAAAAGGGGCUUGCUCCAUUCCUUCCACGCAUUGACCUGGUAUUGCAGCGCCGCUGGGAACGGUGCACUCUUC